GAACUCCUGGCGAUUACCACAGGCUGUGUUCUCACACUGACUGUACAGAAAGAGGAGGGAAAGUAAACCUACCCCACAUACAACUCAACCCACACCUGAGCCUAGCCUUUAUUCUGAAUGGGGAGACAUAG
rnacentral:snoRNA from 1 species